GCGUACAAGGAACCGAUGAAUCGUUGGAACUUGGAAUCGUCACGACUCGGAAACACGCAAUCGUUCUUACGAUUCUUUUCAACGACGAUUCGUCCGUAUCACGAUUCGAUUCUUACGAUUCUUUAUUUAGAGUCGUUCAAAUGAACGACUCAUUCACGAAUCGCCACAACUCUAGUGUCUACUAGCUGUGGUGUGAGUUUUUACACAGUUUUUCAUCGACUCUGGAUUACGGAAGCAGCCAGAUGCGACGACUCCCGCAGCUGUUUCGAAGAAUGUGUCCGUGGAAAGGCGUGCAGUACCGUUUGUGCUCAAGAUAUUUGUUCUUCAAAUCCUAGAAGAACAGCUUGUGAUGGGAUGGAUGCUCUGCCAUACACAAUCACUGUGCAGCAGCUUUGAUGGAAGCAGGAACUACUCCAUAGCAGGCUUCAAAAGAGUCACGAACACAAGGUAGAUGUGAUGGUAUCAAGUGUUUGCCGCUCGCACCACGGAAGCUGUAUUGGAAGAAAAC